rnacentral:rRNA from 1 species
AUUGAACGCUGGCGGCAUGCCUUACACAUGCAAGUCGAACGGUAACGGGCCUUCGGGUGCCGACGAGUGGCGAACGGGUGAGUAAUGUAUCGGAACGUACCUUUCAGUGGGGGAUAACGUAGCGAAAGUUACGCUAAUACCGCAUAUUCUGUGAGCAGGAAAGCAGGGGAUCGCAAGACCUUGCGCUGAUUGAGCGGCCGAUAUCAGAUUAGGUAGUUGGUGGGGUAAAGGCUCACCAAGCCAACGAUCUGUAGCUGGUCUGAGAGGACGACCAGCCACACUGGAACUGAGACACGGUCCAGACUCCUACGGGAGGCAGCAGUGGGGAAUUUUGGACAAUGGGCGCAAGCCUGAUCCAGCCAUUCCGCGUGCAGGAUGAAGGCCUUCGGGUUGUAAACUGCUUUUGUACGGAACGAAACGGUCUGCCCUAAUACGGCAGGCUAAUGACGGUACCGUAAGAAUAAGCACCGGCUAACUACGUG